GGACUUUAUGCUGCUGUUCCUCUCUGCAUAGGAAAUUGCAGUCUAUGCUGGAAUCACCAUGGAGACAACAUCACUUGCCAGAUGUCUUACUUGUAGGCACAUAUUGAAACUAGCGAGCAUUUCAGUUUUUUCUCUCGCCUCUCUCUGUUCUACAACAUACCUUUAAUCAGUACUAUUUGAUGUGAAUUGUUAUCUUUUUUUUUUACAUUUGGUCAAAUAUUUAUGUAAAUACAUGUUUAUAGUUUUUUUUUAAAUAGUUAUGGUGUAAAAGGUGAGCUGUAUAUAACUUGUUUACUUGCUAAGAAAUCAAGAGUUUUGUAGAAUUGAAAAACAGUGGUAUUCAAAAUGUGAAUAGAACCAUUUGACAAGAUUUAAACAGUUUGGAUUUUUUUAUAAAGAAAUGGUUAAGUGCUGUAUUCAGCUAUUUAAAUGACAAAGAACACUAACAGAUUUUGUUGUUUUUAGGCGGACUACAAUUCUAGUUAUCAGUACAAUUAUGGGGACUUAGGAGGAGAUAAUGGUAAUUUUUUCAUGAUAAGUUAAAUGUUUAGAUCUUACUUUGCCAUUUUAUUUUUAACGAUAAACUUAUCAACGUUCACCGAUAAGUGAAUAGAACAGUUUUGAAGGUGAAAAUUAACGAGAUACAGUCAGUAUAUGUGUGUGUAUGUUUAAAAGUAAUGUUUCAUACUUAACCUAAUAAGAGCAUGAGAGUUAUAUAAUUUACAGGUUUGGUUUUUAGAUCUGUUUCAUACAAUGUUACGUAACCUUAGAAAAAUUCUAAAAAUUGUUGCAUGACUUAUUUUUAGGAAGGGUUAUGGGUGUCAAAAAUACUACAUUUUUAAAAACUAUAUAUAUAUAUCAAAUACCAAAAGUAGAUAAGUUUGAUAUGCCAUUUUAAAGAAACACAUGGAUUUACUCUUGUUAAUCCACCCAAGUUAUAUUAUCUGAACAUAUUAUGUAGCUUUUUUUUUUCUUCCGGUAAUUUUUCUCUGUAGCUUGUUACGAGCUCACAUGUUGCAGUUAAUUAUUAGCCAAAGCUUGGAACGAUAAGAGGAUGAAAUGAAAGAUUUUGUCAAAAUGUUUUUUUCAGAAUGAUCUUCACUAGCCAUAAAUGUUUUAAACUUUGAUUCAUAAAUUUAUUUGAAGAAGCUGGGACAUCAUUCUUGAAUUUUAUCCCAUGAUUUAUAUACUCGUUUAUUUUCUCUUAUAGUUGGUGUAGCCCGGGCUGAAGGGGACGCUCACAAGUCAGAUGGUGUAAAACUGAAAAAAGGAAUCCAGAGUAGUGCUACUAUUUCUGCAGGCCCUCGAGGAGUUACAGCUUCAAAUGUUCAGGCUAAUCUGGGCUCGGUUGUUGUUGAUGGUGUUAGCUAUGCUAAGUACCUACCUCCGGAUACUUCUACUUACCAGUAUGAUGAUACAUCGGGAUAUUACUAUGAUCCAAGUACGGGUCUUUAUUAUGAUGCUAACUCUCAGUACUACUAUAAUGCAGAAGCACAACAGUUUCUAUACUGGGAUGGAGAAAAA